GCACGCGGCAGCGGUAGUAGGGGGCGAGCCUGUGCAGCUAAGCACUUCUCCACUGGUCGGUCGCUAGGCUACGGUUCUCUCGCCUCCGACCGACGACGCUCACGGGCGAGUGCCGAGAAGAUGCGAUGCCGCCUAGGCGCGGUCCAUGGUUCGACCGGAGAGCGACGUGUUGUGGCGGCGGCGACCAAGUGGCCUCGAUCGGUGCCAGACUAGCUCGGGGGAGCCCGUGACAUCAGCAGCGGCGGCCGGAGAAAGCGAGCGCACGACGCCGCUGCGGCCUUCGCCGUCGCUACCGCCUCUGCCGAUACGCAACGAGCUCGCCGGAGCGCCGGGGAUUUCUCAGCGCAGCCGCGGAGACCGCGGGCGAGCCGGCGAACGAACGGCACAGCGCGCAGCGGAGGAGGCACGGGGAAAGGGUGCGGCAUGAAAAAAAACUUACUAAAGCAAGGAAUAUCCGAAACUAUAGGGAAAAAAAAAAUUCGCGACGCGCGCGCGCAUGCGCGCCGCUUUUUGCAAUGCUCACUAGAUGGCGCGAGACACAAAUGCGCCCCGCGCCGCGGCUCGAAGUCGAAACACCAUUGAGUUGUAGGAGACACCUGUAGCAGCUAUCUUGGAUAUUUCGCCACGGCUGGAUUCCGCCGUGUUCUAUUCCUUCUUUUUAUAUUUAGAGCUUACCCCGCAUUGCCCGAAGGCGCUAAAGCAGAAAGGUUGCAGCAUUCACAUCAACAAAUCUUCAUUUUUACACUUGUACUUGCACUUGAGACAAUUUGUUCCACUCUUUAAUCGUUCUAACAAAAAAGGAUUUUCGAAUAGGUCCGUCCUGGCAUGCAAUUCCCUUAUUUUGAAAACAUGGCCAGUUCUAUGUGAACUGUAAUGAGAUUCUUUAAAGUAUUUUUCUUUGUUCAUUCCUGUUUUUUCAUUAAAUAUCUGAAAAAAAAGAAAAUAGAACUUCAACUGCAAGUCUUGUCGAUGUGAGGAAACAGUUCCCACUCAAGUUCAUUUUUCAUCUGAGUGCAGCUCUCCCCCCUCUUGUACAGUCCCAAGAUGAACCUAGCUACCCGAUUUUGAAUUUUGUCUAGUACAUAAAUCAGUGUAAUGCCCCUGUCAAGCGGGCAAGUUAAGUGCAUGUAUGGAAAGUGCACUCGGUUUUAAGGGCGCUUCCCCAAAUCUAAACGUCGCAAGCGGAGUGACUCGCAGAAAAAGGCACUCUGGUCGGAGUGCGUUCACGGAACGCACUUUGCUGGUGAAGUGCGUAGCCUUUGUGCCAGCGUUUUCAACAAUACAAAAUGUAAUGCAUAGAAAAAGAACAGAAAUUCAUUCUAGCUGUUGAACAGCUUUUAACGAAAUAAUCAGAACAGAACUCGCCGAUAUUCUGUUCUAGCAGGAUCAAAUGCCAUCUCGUCGUGCGCCACCCAUAGAGUUUCUUAGAAUAAUUACUAGAGGGAAUUCUGGCACUGCAGUCGUUGUACCACCACGGGAAUGAUGGGAAGUGCAUGGAUUUGUCUGAUUUACGUGCUUGUGGAUUCAGACGUUCUUGUAGCUUUGUAUAUUACGCUAUAUAAAUCUUAUUGUCGUAAUUUUCAGCACAAUCUAUGCUCGUCAAAGUGCAGAAAACGCCGCCAACACGCACAAUUGCUAUUAAUUGAAAUGAUUGAGCUUGUUCAGGUGGCCAAAUAGAAAUGUGCCAAGCGUCUCAAGGCACUGGCAUGCCUGCGAUAAAUUCAUAAGGGUGUUGCACUCGUUUGUCAUUACAUGCGUCCGUGGCUUAAUGGUUUCGAUAUCAAGCUUCUGUUUUAGAGUUCCUGUGUUCGAAUCCUGCUGACGGCCAAUUUUAAUGAUGUUUAUUUAAUUAUUUAUUACACACUAUAUUGUUGAAAAUGACUAGUUUACAAAGUCACAAAGCCGUCUGAAGCCAAAAAGACGAAGUUUAGGCAAAUCCAUGUACUUCUCAUAAUUCCCAUGCUGGUACAACCGUUCUUGUUGCAGCUCCCAUAGACACUAGCACCAGAGUUCCCUCUAGUAAUUAUUGUAAGAAACUAUUACGCCACCAUCUUCUUCUGGAUUGACUAUGCAUUCAUCUUGGCCGGCGUUGACUUGCAACAUUCUUAUGAUAAAAAUAUUUUCGUUUUUUGUUAAGUAAAUAUAGAUUAAGAUUGCUUUUUAUUUAUAAUACAACCAAUGCAAUCACAUUUAAGAAGGUUAUUUAUUUUACGCUACGUCUUCAAAAAACAUGAUUUUAGUCUGUCACCAUUUUUUUUUUUAGUGCGAGUGCACUCUGUUUUCCUAGCCUAAAGUGUCACUCAAGGUCCCGAAGUGCACUCCCUGUAAGUGCACUGAACUUGCCCGCUUGAUUGAGGUAUAACUUGCAAAGGAUCCCGUACAGCACAGGCAGUCUAGUAUAGGCCGAACUCCUUGGCUUUUAAUUUCUUUUUUUUUUUACCAAUCACAGAGGAUGUGGACAACCAUCAGAGCCAAUCAGAAGGAGCAAUAUAAUGUCAUUACAUUACACCAAAAUGGCCAGGAAAGGUAGAAAAUUUGCAUGUGCCGAUGCAUAAGAACUGUUCCCAUGGCAGUCCUGCAUGCUGUGCUGAGACCGGAUAGGCUAUUUCACAAACUAAUAUAUUUUAAACCGUUCCUCUACUUAACAGUUCACUUGGCUUCGAGGCAUAUGAAUGGCAACGCCGCCUCAUGACUUAAAUGGUCACAGCACUUCGAUGGCAGACCAUGCCAAUACCAGAGCAAGAAAUUUCUAACCAAGCGUUCUUUGUUGGCAUCUACACCAAUGGACUUGAGAGAAUGCGUGCUUCUCAAGCAACUAGUGGGGGCAAGAAUUGCCAAGAAGCGUUAUCGAAGCACGGUUACGUCAGUCAAGGGGUGGCAAUUCGCUACAACCAAUGGGGCCAAGGAAGAGCUUGAAUAUGGGGGUAAGUCUCAAUCUCUGCAGUUUGCUUCAAAACUGCAGUCAUGUGUUAGCUAUUGGAUUAUAACUAGCUACUUGGAUCCAAAGCGCUGGAGUUCACUGCACUAUUGCUUCACAAGAUGUGAAUAAACAUACAGAAAAAAGGAAGCACCGCAAUAAACAGCAGAAUAUAUAGUUGAUUAAUGUCAGCAAGCGUGCCAGAAUUUAGUGUCCUACCACUCAUUUACAUUGCCGGGACCAUCAAGCAACCAAUCACGACAAAACAUAACUUUAUGUGACAAGUUAUCUUGGAGACAAGGAUGAUGUUACUUGUGUUGGACUGCAGCUAUUUAUUCUUAAUUUACAACAAAAAGGCAUUUCAAACUGCUAGUGUGAGAAAGUACUCUGGAUCACCCACACAAACAUUACGCCGCAGUGACAGGUGAAAAACAGAUUGCUGCAAAUUGUGCGUGCUCCACCAGUUCUAACUGGUCAACAGCUAUGGAAUUCCAUUUGCAAACAAUAGGCAGCGAGUUCAGUUCCCAAUUGUAGAGCACUCUGAUAGGGCGUCAGAAUGCAGGAAUGUCUUCGAGCUUACAUUUUAGUGGGCACUGAAGGAACCCAGGUGAUGAAACUUAAUUCAACAGCCUCGCCUGGCUUCACAGACCACGUGCGGCUCAGGGGCAAUAAUAUGCAACACUUCAAGCACUACAGGCGAUGAUGACCAAGCAAGAAUGAAAAAGCUUGUCCACUCUCUGUCGCUAACUAUAGGCAACUGAAUAGGACGAUUAGCAGCACAAAAUGGACACAUUCCUCAUCAUUCUUUGAGAUGUGCAGCCAAGUCUCAUUCCUGAUUUGCUGCCGAUGUAGACCACACGCAUUACGGGAAAAGGUGCAGGUAACAUCAGCCAGCCGGGAAUGAGACUGAAAAGUCUUACCAAUUGUCUGCCACUGAUUCCCCUCAGCAUGGAAGCAUCACGUAAGGAUUAGCAAAACUAAAUCGUCAUGUUCUUUGUCUUUGCCAAAGACAUGCAGCUAGCUGUCAUUCCUGAUUUGCUUACAUGACUAGUAGCUUUCACUGUGUUGUGCUGAGCCAGUGAACUCGAGCAUAGUUUCCCCGUGCUGCAGAAAAACUAAAGGAUGAAAGAAUACAUCGCCAAGAAUAAAAAAUAAUGAACGUCUUUAUUAUGAUUAUGAAAAUUACAGAUAAUGUACACAAUUUUGGUGAACAAUUGAUGCAACAUCACAGUUGUGUAAACACGUGCUCACUGAGAUCAGUAAUUGAACACAGUAACAAUUAACGAGUCCUGAAACAAUUACAAACAAAUAUUGAAGAGUUGUAAAAAACUUCCAAAACUAUACGAGUAAAGCAAGACAAAAUGAUGUACCAUUUACCUGAGUAUAUCCACAAAAAAGAAUAAUAAAGUAAAGGAACCCAGCAGCUUCAGUAAAGCUUUAGAAAAAUUUCAGAACACUACCAUAUUUACUCAAUUCUAACGCACACAUUUUUCCAGAAAAUUUUUUUACCAAAUUAUAUGCAUGUUAGGUCUGAGCAUGAAACUAAAUGUGUUACAGUGACAAUUUAUUAUCAUUGACAUAAUAUUUUUUUUACUCCAAUUCACAUGUCACUGCAGCUGUAUUAGCUGCGGUAGAUUCGUGCCCACUUUGCAAGUUCAUUAGGCUAUUCUAGAUGCUAUGGUUAGGCUGCAAUGGUCUGCAAAGGGAAGAUUUGAUGCUCUGGGCAGUUUAUAGUGAUAAGACUCUGACAGUGAUUAUGAGUGGUGCCUGACCUACUGUGUCUCAGAUACAAUAAAUUUUCUUUUUACAAGAGAGCAAAUCAUCA